rnacentral:rRNA from 1 species
UGGGGAAUAUUGCACAAUGGGCGAAAGCCUGAUGCAGCAACGCCGCGUGAGUGAUGAAGGCCUUCGGGUUGUAAAGCUCUGUCUUCUGGGACGAUAAUGACGGUACCAGAGGAGGAAGCCACGGCUAACUACGUGCCAGCAGCCACGGUAAUACGUAGGUGGCAAGCGUUGUCCGGAUUUACUGGGCGUAAAGGAUGCGUAGGCGGAUACUUAAGUCAGAUGUGAAAAUCCCGGGCUUAACUUGGGAACUGCAUUUGAAACUGGGUAUCUAGAGUGCGGGAGAGGAAAGUGGAAUUCCUAGUGUAGCGGUGAAAUGCGUAGAGAUUAGGAAGAACACCAGUGGCGAAGGCGACUUUCUGGACCGUAACUGACGCUGAGGCAUGAAAGCGUGGGGAGCAAACA